rnacentral:rRNA from 1 species
AAAAGGCGGCGUAAGCUGUCGCUAAAGGAUGGACCCGCGGUGCAUUAGCUAGUUGGUAAGGUAACGGCUUACCAAGGCGGCGAUGCAUAGCCGAGUUGAGAGACUGAUCGGCCACAUUGGGACUGAGACACGGCCCAAACUCCUACGGGAGGCAGCAGUAGGGAAUCUUCCACAAUGGGCGAAAGCCUGAUGGAGCAACGCCGCGUGAGUGAAGAAGGUUUUCGGAUCGUAAAGCUCUGUUGUUGGUGAAGAAGGAUAGAGGUAGUAACUGGCCCCUAUUUGACGGUAAUCAACCAGAAAGUCACGGCUAACUACGUGCCAGCAGCCGCGGUAAUACGUAGGUGGCAAGCGUUGUCCGGAUUUAUUGGGCGUAAAGCGAGCGCAGGCGGAAAGAUAAGUCUGAUGUGAAAGCCCCCGGCUUAACCGAGGAAUUGCAUCGGAAACUGUGUUUCUUGAGUGCAGAAGAGGAGAGUGGAACUCCAUGUGUAGCGGUGGAAUGCGUAGAUAUAUGGAAGAACACCAGUGGCGAAGGCGGCUCUCUGGUCUGUAACUGACGCUGAGGCUCGAAAGCAUGGGUAGCGAACAGGAUUAGAUACCCUGGUAGUCCAUGCCGUAAACGAUGAGUGCUAAGUGUUGGGAGGUUUCCGCCUCUCA